rnacentral:rRNA from 1 species
GACGAACGCUGGCGGCGUGCUUAACACAUGCAAGUCGAGCGGUAAGGCCCUUUCGGGGGUACGACGAGCGGCGAACGGGUGAGUAACACGUGGGUGACCUGCCCUCAGCUCUGGGAUAAGCCUGGGAAACCGGGUCUAAUACUGGAUAUGACUCCAUGACGCAUGUUGUGGGGUGGAAAGCCUUGUGCGGCUGAGGAUGGGCCCGCGGCCUAUCAGCUUGUUGGUGGGGUGANGGCCUACCAAGGCGACGACGGGUAGCCGGCCUGAGAGGCGACCGGCCACACUGGGACUGAGACACGGCCCAGACUCCUACGGGAGGCAGCAGUGGGGAAUCUUGCGCAAUGGGCGAAAGCCUGACGCAGCGACGCCGCGUGAGGGAUGACGGCCUCGG